GCAGCAGGCCGUUCUGCCGCUUCGGCAUGGCUAUGGUUAUGCCGGGGAGGAAAGUCCGGACAACAAAGGGCACCAUACUCUUGAAAAAGAGGUGUUCGUGAGGGUACAGAAGCGGAGAAGAAAAUAACUGCCGGCUAUAUUUUUACGGGAUCGCGAGCCGAUACCUGCAAAAAGGCCGGUGAGGGUGAGAAGGUGGGGUAAGAGCCCACCAGUUGUGGUGGCAACACUGCAAGCUGUCCGCCUUAUGGGUUGCAAGAUCAUGUAUAUCCCGGUUUCAGGUUUCCUGAACCAUUGCGGCCCGCGAUGGAUUCUCCGGGAGGGGUAGAUCGCGCAGAUAAAUGGCAGAAAUCCCGAUUUAUCGGGAUACAGAAUCCGGCUUACAGGCCCGCUGUUUUU
rnacentral:RNase_P_RNA from 1 species